CCAGUUUGGGCCUUCAACUUCAAAAGGUUGAAAACAAUUCAGGGAUCCGUAAGACAGGGAACAGCCUUCAUCCAACAGGAUAACUGGCUUAUUUUUAAGGUAUUAGAUUUAAAUGGCCUACUGAUGGAAUUAGAAUAAAUCAAUAGGAAAUAUAGUAAUUUUAGUAAGAUAAGUAAGUGAUGAUAAGCCUUAGUUUAAAGAAUUUUUAGGAAUUAGGGAAAAUUAGGCAAAUAAUCCCUUCACACCGAGUACGAAGAGGAAUAUUGAACCCUCUAGGCUCUAUUAUUAAAAUUAUAACUGGAAAACUUAGAUCAGGAAGAUGCUCAACGAUAUGAACAGUUAAUAAAUCAAUUAGGUAAUCAACAAAAUUUCCACAAACAAGCGUUUAACGGUUUCCAAAAUGUUAGAUGGACUCAACUAAUUCAUCAGAAAUAUUACACAAUAACUCAAAAUUAUGGACGAAAGACUAAAACAUGUAAAAAAUAAAAAAAAUUUAAAAGACAUAAGUAUAAUGCAGUAUACUCUACAUAUGUUUUAAGUUUAUAUAAUCUUUUUGUAAGUAAUUUUAGAACGCUUUAUAUAAAAAUAAGCGAAUUAGAAAGAUACGAUUAAUAUUAAAUCAUACAUAUUAUUAGAUAGACAGGAAAAUAACUUUGUAUUAGAGGUAGCUUUAAUAGCCAAUUCAACUUAUAGUUAUAAUAGAAUGUAUCCCUUACCAUAUUUUUAAUGACCCUAAAAACCUAACCUUAAUAAUCAAUCCUAAAUAUCCCUAUAUCCUGGUGAAAGGUGUAACAUACUUACCGCUUAUACAGCCUUGCAAACAAGUCUCUGAGGAAAAUUAUCUCUGCACACAAGAAAACAGGGGCACCGUUUUCUGAAACGACAUGCAUUGAGGAGCUGAUGACCUUCAAGGAAAACCCAUCCAACUGUGACCAGAAUACAGUAAUUAUAGAAGAGAAAAUAUGUCAUCAGAACGUAUCCCAUCCAUUAAGCUGCUGGAGUUACAGUUAACAGUGAACUCUAAGGAAAAUCAGAAUCCAGUAAACUUACAAGGAAUGGAGCUCAGUGACCUGCAACACAUGUCUUACAUGCUGUAACAACUUAACAGAGAUAGUGAUAGUGAAAUGGGCAAUUCAGUGAAAGUGAAAAGCAUUAGUUUAGGCACUCUUUUAUUGUAUUUUGCUAAUUGUUGUGUUUUUUAUAAAAAUAAGAUUAUUAAUAUGUUGCAGUGGCGAAAUAAUCAGAAUUUGCAUGUGCAAUUCCCUGAUAAUUUCGCUCUUAAGGAGGGAGGAGUUAUAUAAUCCCGUGUGUCACCACCAUAGGAUAAUUAUAUUUUAUAUAAACAAAAACCAUUGCAACAUAGUAGUACAAAGAUCCUUUAUAUUUCAAUAGCUGAAGUGCUGUUACAUGAUUUACGAACCACUCUUACAUGAUUUACGAACCACUCUUAGUUCUUACUAAGUAACGUUUCCUUGUAGAGCGUGAGAACAAUGUGUCAGCACAACGGUCACGUAGGCCUUUAAGAAUAGGAUAUAAAUAUAAUAGAAUACUUGUAAUAUUUAGUAUUAAACGGACCUCAAAUCGGA